rnacentral:lncRNA from 1 species
CUGGGAUAUAGACUGCCUGGAAGAAAGGAGGUUCCCAGAUCAGUGCUUUGGUCAGCUCACAUUGGAGGAAGCUUCUUCUUGCAGCAGAUGGAAGUUAACACGGAGACCCACAAAUGGGCAGUGUACAGAGGGUGAGAGACUGUGCAGCACUCAGUAGUAAAUGGGAUCCCUUCCUCAAGCCCCUACACCCAAGGUCAGAGUGCUGUGCUGAAGAGGAGGCAGAAAGGCUGUAAGAGCCAAAGCUGGUGGACAAUCCAAGGAAGCAGUGUCACCAGUUUUGUGUUUCAUUUUGCCUUCAGAUCUGCAAAAGAGUGAAAAGUUGUAACCAUAGUAAAGAGUCAACACUAGGUUGUCUUGAAAUCUCCUCAGCUAACACUAUUGAUCCAAAACUGUUCUAUUUAGUCAAUUGUAGAUAUUUAAAACAAGGACAAUUUCA